GGUGGCUCAGUAGUAGAGCACUUGCCUUGCAUGCAAGAGGCCCUGGGUUCGAUUCCUCAGCACCA
rnacentral:tRNA from 1 species